UGAGGAAUAUUGGUCAAUGGGCGAGAGCCUGAACCAGCCAAGUAGCGUGCAGGAUGACGGCCCUAUGGGUUGUAAACUGCUUUUAUGUGGGGAUAAAGUGCGUGACGUGUCAUGCAUUGCAGGUACCACAUGAAUAAGGACCGGCUAAUUCCGUGCCAGCAGCCGCGGUAAUACGGAAGGUCCGGGCGUUAUCGGGAUUUAUUGGGUUUAAAGGGAGCGUAGGCUGUCUAUUAAGCGUGUUGUGAAAUAUACCGGCUCAACCGGUGGCUUGCAGCGCGAACUGGUCGACUUGAGUAUGCAGGAAGUAGGCGGAAUUCAUGGUGUAGCGGUGAAAUGCUUAGAUAUCAUGAAGAACUCCGAUUGCGAAGGCAGCUUACGGGAGCGCAACUGACGCUGAAGCUCGAAGGUGCGGGUAUCGAACAGG
rnacentral:rRNA from 1 species